rnacentral:ncRNA from 2 species
UAGGUUUAUUACCUCCGAGCUCUGUAACCUGUGAUAGUAGAUUAUGGUUACUGCGGCCGUUAGGGUUUAUCUGGAAACGGGUAAGCCUCCCGUGUGGAAAGGAUGGUAGCUUUAUUAAGC